GUCAAACUAAAGCUGAUUUAUUUUACACUCUUACUCUUUUGAGGAAGCACUGUACUAGUCAGUCAUGUCACAUGAAGUGUGCUGAAUGUGCUGGUUUGUGUCGCCACAUAUUUGAAUGCUCCUGCUAUGAUUAUGCAAAUGGUCAUAUUUGCAAACAUUUACAUGGACUACAAAUUAAACUAAUAAAUUCAGAAGUACCUGGUACUAGUGAAGCAGAGAGUAUAACAGUAAACUAUGACAGUGCAAUGGAGAGCACUAACAUUGCAAUCCAUGAUCCCGUUUCUAUUCCAUCAGGUUCAUCUGUGAAAGUAACAGAGUGUAAAACAAUGAUUACCGAACUUAGUGCCAUGUUUAGUGAAUCAAAUGCUGACAAUAUUGCACCAGUUGUAGAACGAAUUCACACACUACUGUAGAAUGCUCUAAAAACAGCUCAAGCUGUAGAAAACUGUACUACACUUGGUGAUACUAGUGACAACAUGAUAGUGGAAGAGUUUGAAAUUAGAAGAUCAAUUUGUCCGGAUCAGUGUUUGGAAAAGCAGCCUCAGUUUCACAGAACUACUAGGCCUAAACAUCGCACUUCUAAGCAUAUAUUAAAGAAAGCUGAUGCUUCGAGACGACUAGACAUUAUCAAAUCGCUAGAACAAAAUGAAGCAAUAGAAUAUUUAAUGACACUGCUGGAUACAGAUGACAAUGGGGAAAAUGUCAAUGCAGAUCAUACCUCUAACCUUCCAAUUUACUGUACAUGCAGAAAGACAGAUGAUGGAUCACUGAUGGUACAAUGUGCAAGAUGUUCAGAAUGGUUUCAUUUGCAUUGCUUGACUAUCAGUGAAGAAGAACUUCCUGAUGGUGACUGGAUUUGUAAUUCAUGUAUGUAGCUUUUUGA
rnacentral:misc_RNA from 1 species